rnacentral:lncRNA from 1 species
ACUUGGAUCAAGGUAAUGAACGCACAAGCUUUCCUAAGAGCUUGGGGUUAUACAGUUGGAUGAGACCAAGAUCCACAGCUAUUUUUUCAAGUAAUUUAUAUUAAGCUUCAUCUCCCAGCAUUAGGUGGAUCAAAAAAUCAAAAUCAGGCUGUGAGAGAGGGACUAAAACCCUGGCCUAGAUGUUCUACGUCCAGAGACAAAGCGAUGCACAGUAGCAGACACGUAUUGUCAACUCCCAGUUAAUAACUAGCAUAUGUAUCAUACAAUCACUUUAAUUAACAGUCACUUUCUUGUCAAAUUAAUAAUCAUUAAUCAAGAUUGAGAGGCAAAAGAAAAACCAAAAUAAAUAAAAAAAUGAUAACAAGAGGAAAAUAAGAAAUAUGUACCUCCUGAGUUAUGAAUGUCCAUUUUGAUUCCAUUAGUACAUUUGUAGAGUUUCCAGGAAGUUCCUUUUCAACAUCUUCCAACAGCAAAGGUUGGCCAUCUACAAACUUACAAUGAUUAGUAAAUUAUUUAACUCAGAAUGAACUCAAGGUUUGUUAUGUUAGUGGCAUUUUUCUGUUUCAUAAUCAAAUAAAUAAACAAACUUAAAACUAAUCAGUAUGCAUAGGGAAAAUAGAGGUGCUUUGUGUAACUAUGGAAAAUACAACUUGAUUAUUAUUAUUAUUUUGAUAGGAAAUAACAAAGAGAUAUAUUGAUAGAAAUAAGAAGUACAAAAGAAGGACGAGGAAUCCUCCCACCAAAGAAAUAACUAAACAACAAGAAUACAAAAACAAGAAGCUACAAUGUAAAAACAACGAACAAUCUCUCUUGGCUAGACCAUCCCGUUGGAGCUACACACUGCUAGCCAAUCUAAUUGUAACACAUUAAGGGGAGUGCCCUUAAAAACCAUGGAACAAAAAGCCCAAAGAGAAGCAAGGAAGUGAAUGGAAUUCUAUAGAUUCUCUGAAUUCCUAGCUUUAUCCUCAAAUAUCCUAGCAUUUCUUUCCCGCCACACAACUCAAAUUAAAGCAAUGCACGCAGUUUGCCACAAAACUAUCCCUCUCUUGGAUAUUUCAAAACCUUUAUAAUUGAUGGCCAUCAUGUCGGAAAAAUACAACUUGAUUAUCAACUGCAAUUUAUGUAAGGUCAAUCGCUAUAAGAAUGGUUCAGAACCUAGACAUAGCAAAAGCAAUUUUGAUACAUUGAAACAAGAACUUGGAUCAAGGUAGUCAGAAAAGACACAUUGUACUUUGAUUUAACAAGGACCUGGUCCUAGAUAGAGCUACACAACAAACAAGGAUUGCACAUCCAACUUUCUAACCCAACAGUAGAUUUAUAACUCCCUGUGGUUGUACAUGGGUAGGUUCAUACUUAUUAUUGGGCUUUGGACAAUCCCUGAAUUGAAUUACGAUGGGUUAGAAAAUCUAAAAAGAAGCAGCACAGAAUCAACUCUAACAUAUUGUCAUAAUCAAUUACUGGAUAAAUUAUCAGAGCAGUGCCUAAUGUAAUAAAAUUUGAAUUUUUAAUGUUGU